rnacentral:rRNA from 1 species
UACGAAGGGUGCAAGCGUUACUCGGAAUUACUGGGCGUAAAGCGUGCGUAGGUGGUUUGUUAAGUCUGAUGUGAAAGCCCUGGGCUCAACCUGGGAAUUGCAUUGGAUACUGGCAAGCUAGAGUGCGGUAGAGGAUGGCGGAAUUCCCGGUGUAGCGGUGAAAUGCGUAGAGAUCGGGAGGAACAUCAGUGGCGAAGGCGGCCAUCUGGAUCAACACUGACGCUGAGGCACGAAAGCGUGGGGAGCAAACAGG